rnacentral:tRNA from 1 species
GGACCAUUAGCUCAGUUGGUUAGAGCACCCCGCUCAUAACGGGGAGGCCCCGGGUUCAAGUCCCUGAUGGUCCA